AAGGGAGCCCGGGCGUUGGUGGCGCACGCC
rnacentral:piRNA from 1 species